rnacentral:rRNA from 1 species
AUGAACGCUGGCGGCGUGCCUAAUACCUGCCAGUCGAGCGAACAGACGAGGAGCUUGCUCCUCUGACGUUAGCGGCGGACGGGUGAGUAACACGUGGAUAACCUACCUAUAAGACUGGGAUAACUUCGGGAAACCGGAGCUAAUACCGGAUAAUAUAUUGAACCGCAUGGUUCAAUAGUGAAAGACGGUUUUGCUGUCACUUAUAGAUGGAUCCGCGCCGCAUUAGCUAGUUGGUAAGGUAACGGCUUACCAAGGCAACGAUGCGUAGCCGACCUGAGAGGGUGAUCGGCCACACUGGAACUGAGACACGGUCCAGACCCCUACGGGAGGCAGCAGUAGGGAAUCUUCCGCAAUGGGCGAAAGCCUGACGGAGCAACGCCGCGUGAGUGAUGAAGGUCUUCGGAUCGUAAAACUCUGUUAUUAGGGAAGAACAAAUGUGUAAGUAACUAUGCACGUCUUGACGGUACCUAAUCAGAAAGCCACGGCUAACUACGUG